CCAAGGAGUCUAGCAUGUGCGCAAGUCAUUGGGAAUCACAAAACCUAAAGGCGCAAUGAAAGUAAAGGUUCGCUCAAGCGAACCGAGGGAUGAUGGACCGCGUCCGAGGACGCGUGCCCGCAAUCCCGGGGCGUCUCGUUCUCAUUGCGAGAAGAGGCGCACCAAGAGCGUACACGCUGGGACCCGAAAGAUGGUGAACUAUGCCUGGUCAGGUCGAAGUCAGGGGAAACCCUGAUGGAGGACCGUAGCGAUUCUGACGUGCAAAUCGAUCGUCGGAACUGGGUAUAGGGGCGAAAGACUAA
rnacentral:rRNA from 1 species